AGAACGAACGCUGGCGGCAUGCCUAAUACGUGCAAGUCGAACGAAGGCUUCGGCCUUAGUGGCGCACGGGUGCGUAACGCGUGGGAAUCUGCCCCUUGGUUCGGAAUAACAGUUGGAAACGACUGCUAAUACCGGAUGAUGACGAAAGUCCAAAGAUUUAUCGCCAAGGGAUGAGCCCGCGUAGGAUUAGCUAGUUGGUGAGGUAAAGGCUCACCAAGGCGACGAUCCUUAGCUGGUCUGAGAGGAUGAUCAGCCACACUGGGACUGAGACACGGCCCAGACUCCUACGGGAGGCAGCAGUAGGGAAUAUUGGACAAGUGGGCGAAAGCCUAGAUCCAGCAAUGCCGCGUGAGUGAUGAAGGCCUUAGGGUUGUAAAGC
rnacentral:rRNA from 1 species